rnacentral:rRNA from 1 species
CCUACGGGGGGCAGCAGUAGGGAAUUUUCGUCAAUGGGCGCAAGCCUGAACGAGCAAUGCCGCGUGAACGAGGAAGGUCUUCGGAUCGUAAAGUUCUGUUGAAGGGGAAAAAGAGCGGAGAGAGGACAUGCUUUCUGAUUGAUAUUACCCUUCGAGGAAGUCACGGCUAACUACGUGCCAGCAGCCGCGGUAAUACGUAGGUGGCGAGCGUUAUCCGGAAUGAUUGGGCGUAAGGGGUGCGUAGGCGGCCUGCUAAGUCUGGAGGGAAAGGUACCGGCUCAACCGGUACAGGCUCUGGAAACUGGCGGGCUAGAGAGCAGGAGAGGGCGGUGGAAUGCCAUGUGUAGCGGUAAAAUGCGUAGAUAUAUGGAAGAACACCAGUGGCGAAGGCGGCCGCCUGGACUGUUACUGACGCUGAGGCACGAAAGCGUGGGGAGCAAAUAGGAUUAGAUACCCUUGUAGUC